rnacentral:rRNA from 1 species
GACGUAGGUGGCUAGCGUUGUUCGGAAUCACUGGGCAUAAAGCGCACGUAGGCGGCCAAGUCAGUCGGAUGUGAAAUACCUCGGCUCAACCGAGGAACUGCGUCCGAUACUGCUUGGCUUGAGGUCCGGAGGGGAGAGUGGAAUUCCCGGUGGAGCGGUGAAAUGCGUAGAUAUCGGGAGGAACGCCGGCGGCGAAAGCGACUCUCUGGUCGGAUCCUGACGCUGAGGUGCGAAAGCUAGGGGAGCAAACGGG